GGGCGAUUAGCUCAGUUGGCUAGAGCGUUCCCUUGACGUGGGAAAGGCCAGGGGUUCGAAUCCCUUAUCGCCCA
rnacentral:tRNA from 1 species